rnacentral:rRNA from 1 species
UACGGAGGGGGCUAGCGUUGUUCGGAAUUACUGGGCGUAAAGCGCACGUAGGCGGCUUUGUAAGUUAGAGGUGAAAGCCCAGGGCUUAACCCUGGAAUUGCCUUUAAGACUGCAUCGCUAGAAUCGUGGAGAGGUAAGUGGAAUUCCGGAGUGUAGAGGUGAAAUUCGUAGAUAUUCGGAAGAACACCAGUGGCGAAGGGCGAGUUCCUGGACAGUUGCUGACACUGAGCACGAAGGCUAGGGGAGGCAAACCGGG